rnacentral:rRNA from 1 species
GNCCAUACUCCUACGGGAGGCAGCAGCGGGGAAUAUUGCGCAAUGGACGGAAGUCAGACGCAGCGACGCCGCGUGGGUGAGGAAGGCCUUCGGGUUGUAAAGCCCUUUUCAGGGGAGCGAGAAAGGACGGUACCCUUGGAAUAAGCGUCGGCUAACUACGUGCCAGCAGCCGCGGUAAGACGUAGGACGCAAGCGUUAUCCGGAUUUACUGGGCGUAAAGCGCCUGUAGGCGGUCAAGUAAGUCGGAUGUGAAAGCCCCGUGCUCAACGCGGGGAAGCCAUUCGAUACUGCGUGACUAGAGAACGGCAGAGGGAAACGGAAUUUCUGGUGUAGCGGUAAAAUGCGCAGAGAUCAGAAAGAACACCGAUGGCGAAGGCAGUUUCCUAGGCCGCAUCUGACGCUGAGAGGCGAAAGCUAGGGGAGCAAACAGGAUUAGAGACCCUGGUAGUCCUAGCUGUAAACGAUGGAUGCUAGGUGUGGGCCGGAAAGGUCCGUGCCGUAGUUAACGCGAUAAGCAUCCCGCCUGGGGAGUACGGCCGCAAGGCUAAAACUCAAACGAAUUGACGGGGACCCGCACAAGCAGCGGAGCGUGUGGUUUAAUUCGAUGCUACACGCAGAACCUUACCUGGGCUUGACAUGUAGGUGGUAGUGAAGUGAAAGCGGAGCGACCCUUCGGGGAGCCUACACAGGUGCUGCAUGGCUGUCGUCAGCUCGUGCCGUGAGGUGUCGGGUUAAGUCCCGUAACGAGCGCAACCCUUGUCCUUAGUUACAAGUGUCUAAGGAGACUGCCGGUGACAAACCGGAGGAAGGUGGGGAUGACGUCAAGUCAGCAUGGCCCUUAUGUCCAGGGCGACACACACGCUACAAUGGUCGGUACAAUGGGCAGCGCAGCCGCG